UAUCAAACUAGGGCCUUCAUUUCUUCAAAUUGUUAAUCUAUUCGGAAAAAAGAAUUUCUAUGUCUGGUUGAUGCCAAAAGAAAUUUACUAUGGAUUGUUCCAUUAUUUCUGCUUUUGCGCACUUGUUUUCUUCUGGGUUUUAUAUAUGUUUUGUGUUAUAUACAAAAAGGAAGACAAGUUUAACUUUUUUCUGUUUACAUGAAUACUACAAUUAUCAGGAACUUGAGGCCUUAGCUGAUCCAAGGAACAUAACCAUUGAGUUGGACGCAGGGCGCAGAAUAAUGGAAUCCGUGAAUGAAAAUCAAUUCGUGCAGUCCGAUAAUGAGAUAGUUUCAGAUAAUAUCAACGUUGUGGACAAUGACACGUUGGGAGGAGAUGGAGAGAUUGUGCUCGAGGUGGGUAUGAUGUUUAAGGAUAAAAAGGAGUUGUAUGAUUUCUACAAACGAUAUACUUAUGCAGUUGGUUUUCCAGUUGCCUGAGUUACAUAUUCUUUUUCAACAGCAAUGCACAUGGAAAAUCUGUCCACUGCUGUCCCAAUUACUCAUCCAGUAACGCCGGUUCACAACAAUGUUGGAAUCUCAUAUAGCAAGUGAAGUUUGAGAUGCUAAAUUGGGUCAUACUUUGUUUCUAUGUAUUGGAAUCUCAAGCUGUAAUUUUGCUUGAUUUAUCCAUUGUAAUAUUUUAUCAUAUUAAAGGCAGUUCACCAUGCACCUGGAUUUGUU
rnacentral:lncRNA from 1 species